rnacentral:lncRNA from 1 species
UUUCAUCUCGUCUUCCUCCCCGAUCCCCUCUCUCCGCUGGAUUCCCCUCCGUCCAUCCCAGCGGCGCUCGCCACGUGCCGGGACACGCGUGGAGGGGCCUCCCCUUCUCCCUCCCUCCUGCUGCCCUCAGAUCACGGCCGCAGCAGAAGCGAUGGCCGCCGCCGUCUUCCGGCCUCCUCCGCGCGAGGCGAGGAGGUGGAGGAGAAUACCGCACGAACAACCGGAGCGGCCGGUGCCACCGCGACCCCGGCGACGGAUAUCGACACGGAGGGACGUCCCCCGCGACCCCGCCGCAUCCUAGACUCCGGGUUCCUGCCCCCGGCCACCUCCAUGUCCCUCGCCGGCUUCAGAUCGGCCCCGAAGAAGCAACGGGCCUGCGAUUCAUUCCCAUCGUCCCAGCCCCCAUGCUCCGCCGUGGGCUGUGGCCAGCGAGGCGGCGAGAUCCUCCUCCUCCGCUCGCCUGUCAGGCUGCCACGGCCCAUCCCGUUUGCCGCUGUGCGCAGGUAUUCUCCCCCUGCACGCGCUCGCGGCUUGAUGAGUGAUUGAAGGCCGAAGCAGCACCAAAUUCUGUUUUUCUUAUACUCUGUUUCAGCGUGUACAUCUUGUUUGGUCUGUUUGUUUACAAUGAAAUAAUCUGUCGGAAUAGCAGCUUAACAUCCUUUUGAGCUUAACCAUGUUCUACUCAAGAUGUAUGCUUGAACAGAGUAAGAUAUUUUUGUUGGUUCACAUACUGCCUGUCACACCAUCUGAUCCCAUGCCAGUUUUUUUAGUGUAAUGCAUUCCUCUACCCUGGCUGAUGGUGAUGACUAGGAUAUGGGGAUCCAAUUAAUACCUCUUGGCAAUGCAGCAAUGUUUCACCAGUACUUAUUGGUGUAAUUCGUUGGUUGUUCUCUCACCAAAUGUUAGCUUGCAAUCUAUUGAUCCUUUAUUUGAGGUAGUAAUACAUACCAGUAGUAAUUGGAUUCCUGAAUGGUUAAUAGGUAAGUACUCCUAGAUAUUAUGGUGAUCCAGAGGAGGCGCAGUGAUGUGCCUAUCAAAUGUUACGGUGAAGUCUGAACUCCAGGGUAGCAACUCUUUAUUGAAUACAAACUUGGCCAAAUUUUCGAUCCAUUUUUAUCGAAUCCUUGCAAUCUACAGUUGUGCUUAUUGUUAUGGGAGCUGGAGGGGUUCAAUUGCCACUGGUUGCUACAAAUAUGGUUCUUCGAGGGCUUGCUUGUCUAUAGUUUCUGCUUAGUAGUUAGUAGUAUACGUUUAGUACACUGCUCUGGUAGUGUCAAUGUGUCCUUGUUGCAUUAUACUAACAGUGAGGAAGUAAUUGUUUUCGAUCUAUUCCUGUCCAGAUAAUACAUUUAGUUUUCAUGUCUUGUAUUUGUUUUUUUAAGCCACGUUUGUUUUCAGGCAUAGAGACGAUACAAAUUUUGAGUAGUAAUACACUUCUGUCUAAUGCGAGUAUGUUAUUUUUUUAGACCAUCAGGAAGAAGAUUGCCAUGUGGCACGACAUAGCAGUGCUGAGCAGGGUAGGGAGACAGCGGAUGGAGCCAAGGGUAGCGCAGAGAAAGGACCGAGAGGGGGUCGGGAACACUUUGUUUCCCCGCAUGAACGUAGAUGUAAAAGACACACCUAAUGGACGAAGGAAAUCAAAGGGUAUGGUUGCCGAGAGGAGGAAAGCAAGCAGAGUAUAUUUGCUUCUGUUAUGAACUUGUGGUAUCGUGCUCGGCAUAUACAAUGGAAUAGAACAACACUUCGACCAACGUCUCUACACAUAUCGCUUUGUUGAUCCAUAUCAACGGCUACGGGGGGCUUACUAGUAAAUGACCAAUGUAGCUUUUCAUUUGCCAGAUACUUGUAAACUAUUGAUCCAGCUAUGCAAUCUGUUAUCCAGCAAGACAAAAAGUGUUAGCCAAGUGAUAGGGAGUGAUGUACCACAGGAGAAAAUCCCUUGAAUUAUGUUAUCAAUGUUUGUACAUGGUGGAUGUCAAGUCACAAAACUUAUUCUCUCCUUUACAUUUUGCAACAAUGUAAGCUGAACCUUCCCUACUUUCUGAAAUCAGUUCAUAAAUGUACAUGAUUUGAUUUUGUUUUUCAUAUAGUUGGUUUAUAUAUCUUCUAACAAAGGAACAAAGAGUAAAAACGAAGAUGGUUUGUUG